rnacentral:rRNA from 1 species
CGGUAAACAGAGGGAAGCGAACCCGCAGGGGGAGGCAAAUCCAGAAAUAAACGUCCCAGUUCGGAUUGUAGUCUGCAACCCGGCUACAUGAAGCUGGAAUCGCUAGUAAUCGCGGAUCAGAAUGCCGCGGUGAAUACGUUCCCGGGUCUUGUACACACCGCCCGUCACACCAUGGGAGUCGGAAAUGCCCGAAGUCUGUGACCCAACCUCAGGGAGGGAGCAGCCGAAGGCAGGUCGGAUGACUGGGGUGAAGUCGUAACAAGGUAUC